rnacentral:lncRNA from 1 species
AUUUUCAAGGCCCUGGACGAGAUUUUAUCCAUCCUAAAAAAAUCCGGGGUAGAUUAAAGACCAUUCAACAAAGUGUUUAGCUGGUACAAAAGGCAUUUUAACGACCUUCGCGGGAUAAGUCUUUUCCCUGAUUUUCAAGUAUUCAGCUGGUACAAAAGGCAUUUUAACGAUCUUCGCGGGAUAAAUCUUCUCCCUGAUGUUCAAGUAUUUAGCUGGUACAAAGGGCAUUUUAACGACCUUCGCGGGAUAAAUCUUCUCCCUGAUUUUCAAGGGUAAAGAAUUAAGAAGAAAGAACUCUUAAUAUCCAAGAUAUUGUUAAGACUGUCUCUUAGAACUCAUCAGCGAUGCCAUCAACACCUUUACUCAGCCUUUUCAUGAAUCCAAUGCAUCAUUUCAACGUCAUUCAACAUCAUCAACAGUUAAAAGAGAACAAAUCGCAAUUUCACAAUAAUUAUAGUUUUAAUGAACUUUAUCUCCGCAAUUUGGGGCCACGGUACGCUAAAAAUGGAUUUCUUCAAGUACGCGAGGUUGAGACAGUCACACUCUUUACAAAUGGGUGUGUUCGCCAGCUUCAUGUAGAACCGCUGAACAGGUUUAAUUAAAACUUACCUUCCUCUUGAAGUUGUUCAUCUCCUGAGAGCGAACUAAAACCCCCUUCAGUUUCAUACGUGACCAUCUGUAGCGACCGAAAAUCUCUCGAGAGGAAACUUCGCUUCUUUCUUUAAGAUGUUGCGUGGUUUUGACUUUUCUCCGAUUGCUACCUGUUUUGUCACAUGAAAACGUCUUGAAGAUCGCUGGGGAUUUUUGUGUUCGCCCUUAAAGCGAGCUCAUCUUCGAAUGUGACCAUUUUUUCAACGCGGGGUUUUGGCGGAGGCUUUCUGGGCAUUCUCACUGUUAAUGGGAGGAUGUUUUGCGUGGAUUGGAGCGUUUCGGAGGUGCAGGAGAGAUCGAAUUCGCUCAUUGAUCUGGAUUCGAGGAGGUGAUCCCGCAGAGUUUCCCGUAGAAUUUUCGAAAAGUUCUAGCGAGGACGUCGCCCGUCGUUGAGAGGAGGAGUUACCCCACCUUCGAGUGCCAUAAAAGUGAACGCGCCCAAAACGGUGUAAGCCAAAACCAAGAAACAAACUCCCAAAGUUGCCAAAAUUGAUGUUGAAGAUCUCGCGCUGGGAAUCGUGUAACAGCAACACAAGAAAGUUUCCGAUGCGUUUGGGGAUGGAAGCGGCGAUGGUUGUUGCUGUUGUUGUUGGUGAUGCGGAUAGGGGGAGGUUACUUCGCCGCCUCGAUGGAGUUCGUAACAACAAGAUUUUGUUGGUGCUGGACUACCCGGGGGCGAAAUUCGACGGAUAUAAGGGGAUCGCGGAAAUCCCGGGGCCUAAGGAAGGAAUGGCAUAUGGCUAUAACAGUUGAUUGCCAAACAGCAAAGACGUUUUCGAGAUAAAGAGCUCCAAUAUAUUUGUAUAAUAUAUGGAGAACAAGAUAUAACCAAGAACUAUACGCUUACUACAGGGAGUCAGAAGCACCUGCCUAACAGGAUAAUGCAAGGAGCGUGACUUAGACGAAGAAUGACAGCAAGAUAUGCGCGGGUCCAGAAGUUAAAGAGAUUUGGGGGCCGAAACGAUUUAUGGU